GGCGGUAGCUCAGUGAUUAAGCUGUUGGACUACUGCUCAGAAGGUUAUGAGUUCAAUCCCCAACACUGCCA